rnacentral:rRNA from 1 species
CGUACACUCCUACGGGAGGCAGCAGUGGGGAAUAUUGGACAAUGGGCGCAAGCCUGAUCCAGCCAUGCCGCGUGAGUGAUGAAGGCCCUAGGGUUGUAAAGCUCUUUCACCGGUGAAGAUAAUGACGGUAACCGGAGAAGAAGCCCCGGCUAACUUCGUGCCAGCAGCCGCGGUAAUACGAAGGGGGCUAGCGUUGUUCGGAUUUACUGGGCGUAAAGCGCACGUAGGCGGACUAUUAAGUCAGGGGUGAAAUCCCGGGGCUCAACCCCGGAACUGCCUUUGAUACUGGUAGUCUUGAGUUCGAGAGAGGUGAGUGGAAUUCCGAGUGUAGAGGUGAAAUUCGUAGAUAUUCGGAGGAACACCAGUGGCGAAGGCGGCUCACUGGCUCGAUACUGACGCUGAGGUGCGAAAGCGUGGGGAGCAAACAGGAUUAGAUACCCCGGUAGUCCCA